UCUUAGAACGAGUCACAAAUUGCAGACAUCAGUGUAAUGCUGUUUAAUAUAUUAUGUUGAUGAUUCGUCUUGAAACAGCUGAAACUUGUUACAACAGUUUGGUCUACAUUUCUGUAUACUAGUUUUGCUCAAUUUGAAAUCAAAAUAAAUGUGUAUUGGUUUCUAUCUAGACAUUUGCCAUGCGGGUCAUUACAUGUGUUUAUCCUAAUAGAGAAGUGAUUAAUUGGACGUACAGGGAUAAAACCCCGCGAACUCUUAUGUUGACCACAUGGGCGCGUGGUGGGAAGAGCACUUCCUGUUUCCCCGUCGGAACUAUUUUUUGUGUUGCACUUGCUUCAGAAGGUGGUUGUCCAAAAUAGACUUGAUGAGACAUGUAAGUCAUCGUGGUAGCAAGACAGCAGCACACUUUUUCUUAUUUAACCUUUAUUUAACUAGGCAAGUCAGUUCUUAUUUACAAUGACGGCCUACCCCGGCCAAACCCGGACGACGCUGGGCCAAUUGUGCGCCGCCCUAUGGGACUCCCAAUCACGACCGGAUGUGAUACAGCCUGGAUUUGAACCAGGGACUGUAGUGACACCUCUUGCACUGAGAUGCAGUGCCUAGACAGCUGCGCCAGUCGGGAGCCCAAGAUACUAGUCACUAUCCGUACUACAGAUGAGCGAGUCUGCCAACAAAUAUGGUCCCUCUAAAGCGCAGGAAAGUGAACUGCUCCGUUACAAGUGACAGCAGCGGUGACAGGACCAGAAAGUUUCCCGGGGUUGUCAUCUUUCUCCUGGAGAGAAAGAUGGGAGCCAGUCGGAGAGCCUUCCUCACUCGGCUCGGACGGGGGAAAGGUUUCAACAUAGAAUACUCCUUAAGCCGUUCCAUCACUCAUAUUGUGUCCGAGAAUAAUUCUGGGGAGGAAGUCCGGACUUGGCUGGACCUCCAGACUGGAGGACAGGGGAGAGAAGGAGGAGAAGGCAGGACAGCCCGACCUGGUUCUGUCCAUCUCCUGGACAUCGUGUGGUACACAGAGAGCAUGCAUGCUGGCAUCCCCGUGGUUAUACUGGACAGACACAGACUACAGGAGAGAGAGAAGCCUGGUUUGGAGCUGGCAGUGGUCUCAGUACCCAGCUAUGCCUGUCAGAGACACACCCCUCUACUGCACCACAACACAAUACUGACCGAUGCGUUGUCCAUACUGGCUGAGAAUGCGGAGCUCAGUGAAAACGAGGGACGGGGAGUGGCGUUCCGUAGGGCGGCAGCCUUGUUGAAAUCCCUCCCCCAGGAGGUCAGAGGGGCAGAGCAACUACGAGGACUGCCUUGUCUGGGGGAGCACUCACUCAGAGUCAUCAAGGAGGUUCUGGAGGAUGGUGUAUCUCAUGAGGUGGAGACCACCAUGCAUUCAGAACAGUUUAAGGCCAUGAAGGCCCUAACAGGUAUUUUCGGGGUAGGGGCAAAGACAGCGGACCGUUGGUUCAGGGAGGGAAUACACAACCCCUCCAACCUGCAAAGAUCAGGACACACACUCAACAGAGCGCAACGAAUAGGUCUGAAGUAUUAUGACGAACUGAACCUGCCUGUCACGAAACCAGAGGCUGUUGCAAUUGGUCAGAUUGUGGAGAGGGCGGUCCAUGCUGUGCUCCCGGGUGCAGAGAUAACUCUGAUUGGAGGAUUCAGGAGAGGUAAGCAGACUGGUCAUGAUGUGGACUUCUUGAUAACCCACCCCGACGAGGGCAGAGAGGAGGGGCUCAUGCCUAAGGUGGUGUCCUGGCUUGAAGCACAGGGCUUCCUGUUGUACCAGAAGACCACCGGGAACUCUUAUCUGGAGAGCAAAGAGGGUCCUGCGAGGCCAGCCUCUAACAUGGACCGCUUUGAAAGAUGCUUCUCUAUCUUUAGACUGAGCACAGACAAUGAAGGGAGGGAGAUCCAGACGGGGGAUGGUCCACAGACAUACUCACCGACACUGACCAAUACAGAUCCACACACCCACUCAGACACUCACCCACACUCAAAAACGGACUCUCACCCACUUCCCCAGACCCUUGUGGUGGUGGGUGACCAUGCCCAGAAGGUGAGCAGGGUGCUGGGUCAUUCUCAGUGCUCAGGUCCCCGGUCCUGGAGGGCAGUGAGGGUAGACCUGGUGGUCUCUCCAUACAGCCAGUUUGCCUUCGCAUUACUGGGCUGGACUGGAUCGAAGGUACGGCCUAAACCUAACCCCCGACCUCUAACUUGUGAUCCUGUUAUAAGGCUUCAAGAUGCACCUCACCCCCCCCCACCAGCCUUCCAUGUGAAUCUUAGGCCUUAUCUCAUUUGGGGAAAAGUCUGUCCUCUGUCUUCUCUCCUCUGGAAACCAAUAAGUAGUCAAGGAGAGUGUACAUUUGUUAGUAGGAAGUGUGUCCUCCCCUCCUCGAUAGCCACCUUUCAUCGAGGAUAGUCAUGUGUAUCCUAUCGGAGUCCUUCCAGGAAGAGUUUUGAUCUGCUACACCCCCUUUGAAGCAGUUGUUUUCUCCAAGGAGAAAAGCAUGCAAACAUUUACAAACAAUAUGCUAAUUACUGUAAAAUGUUUUGCACAGCUAGCUACAUUUUGUUUGAUCACUUUACACGUUUAUUUUGGGAUUCCACCCCUGUAAAUGUCUUUUGCCUGAUGACGUGCGAGUGGAGCGCAUUUUCAACCAGCCUUCUCUUUCUCUCUCUCUCUGCAGUUGUUUGAGAGAGAGCUGCGUCGCUGGGCAGUACAUGAGAAGGCCAUGACUCUGAGCAGCCAUGCUCUGUACGACAGAAAACGGAUGCAGUAUCUAAGGGCUAGUUCAGAGGAGGAGAUCUUUGCUCAUCUGGGUCUGGAAUAUAUCCCUCCGUGUGACCGGAAUGCCUGACGACAACAUACUGGACUGAUAACAGACACAGUCUAAGAGCUAAGCUAAGCAAACCCAAGCUAACUUAAACCUAAACAUAAGCCACAUCAAACUAAGCCUUAUCCCGGAACAACACACAGGCCAGAUACAGCCCAGGGUAGACAAGAAGGGAGGGUGAGAGGUAGCUAGAUCGUUACAUAUCUGUAUUUUAUUAUAUUGUAAAUAAUAGAUAACAUACAGACCCAGGAUGUUGUAAAGUACCAAAUCUAUAGAUGUGUUUAAUUUAGUUAACUAAAUUAACUGCUCGAGCCAUUAAUUGUACAGAAUGUGCUUUUUUUUUCAUAUCUGACAUAUUAGCUCAUUUUUCUUUCAUUGGUGCCAUGUUAUUGAAUACGUUUUUAAUAUUUACUAGAAUUUGUCUGCUUGUUUGUGAUAUUUAGAAUGCAGUUAAUCUAUGUGAAUUAAAAUUGUAUCAAUAAUUUUAGACUUACCAAAAAGCUUUUAAAAUGUGACAUAAUGUAGGCCUAAAACUGUGUUCAUUCUGAGGGAAAGUGUUUAAUCUAUGCAUGCCGUCAUGCAGUGUGUGUGGUUUUGUUACAUUUUGCAUGAUGACAGCAGUGGCCUAUUUACACAGCAGGUGUACACUACACUACACACACACACACACCAUCCAUCCAACUCACAUUAUGUACAAAAUAAGUUUAAAAAAUGCCAAAAAACACACACAAUAGCAUAAUUGGUUAGGGGAUCGUAAAACAGCAGCCAUCUCCUCCGGUGCAUGUGACAAAUAUUACCUCUCAUGACAUGUCUGAGCAUAUAUAUAUAUAUGUUUAUACAUUGAUAUAUGUAUAUACAGUAUACCAUUUUAUAUAUUAUCAAUUUAUGCAUUGUGGUGGUUUCUGUGUGUACUCUUUUGUUUUUAUUUGACAGAAAUAAAACUCCCCUAUUAUUGAAUGAG